rnacentral:rRNA from 1 species
AGUGAACGCUGGCGGUAGGCCUAACACAUGCAAGUCGAACGGCAGCACAGUAAGAGCUUGCUCUUACGGGUGGCGAGUGGCGGACGGGUGAGGAAUACAUCGGAAUCUACUUUUUCGUGGGGGAUAACGUAGGGAAACUUACGCUAAUACCGCAUACGACCUACGGGUGAAAGCAGGGGAUCUUCGGACCUUGCGCGAUUGAAUGAGCCGAUGUCGGAUUAGCUAGUUGGCGGGGUAAAGGCCCACCAAGGCGACGAUCCGUAGCUGGUCUGAGAGGAUGAUCAGCCACACUGGAACUGAGACACGGUCAAGACUCCUACGGGAGGCAGCAGUGGGGAAUAUUGGACAAUGGGCGCAAGCCUGAUACAGCCAUACCGCGUGGGUGAAGAAGGCCUUCGGGUUGUAAAGCCCUUUUGUUGGGAAAGAAAAGCAGCAGGUUAAUACCCCGCUGUUCUGACGGUAACCAAAGAAUAAGCACCGGCUAACUUCGUG